rnacentral:snRNA from 1 species
AGAUGCUUAAAUUGUCCCCUUCCAUACGUAAAAAUUGGAACGAUACAGAGAAGACUAGCAUGCCCCCUGCACAAGGAUGACACGCUGUUCCGGAGUGGUAGACCUACGGGUCUCAACAUUUAU